GAUGAACGCUGGCGGCGUGCCUAAUACAUGCAAGUCGAGCGAACAGAUGGGGAGCUUGCUCCUCUGACGUUAGCGGCGGACGGGUGAGUAACACGUGGAUAACCUACCUAUAAGACUGGGAUAACUUCGGGAAACCGGAGCUAAUACCGGAUAAUAUAUUGAACCGCAUGGUUCAAUAGUGAAGGACGGUUUUGCUGUCACUUAUAGAUGGAUCCGCGCCGCAUUAGCUAGUUGGUAAGGUAACGGCUUACCAAGGCAACGAUGCGUAGCCGACCUGAGAGGGUGAUCGGCCACACUGGAACUGAGACACGGUCCAGACUCCUACGGGAGGCAGCAGUAGGGAAUCUUCCGCAAUGGGCGAAAGCCUGACGGAGCAACGCCGCGUGAGUGAUGAAGGUCUUCGGAUCGUAAAACUCUGUUAUUAGGGAAGAACAAAUGUGUAAGUAACUAUGCACGUCUUGACGGUACCUAAUCAGAAAGCCACGGCUAACUACGUG
rnacentral:rRNA from 1 species